UCACACCUGCCUCAGCGUCGGGA
rnacentral:rRNA from 1 species